GGGUAGUUAGUUUUAUGUAGGUAGAAUUCUGUUUUUGUAAAACAGGGGAAUUGUUGUUGAUACUUCCCA
rnacentral:tRNA from 1 species